rnacentral:SRP_RNA from 1 species
GCCAGGCAUGGUGGCUCAUGCCUGUAAUCCUAGCAUUUUUGGAGGCUGAGGUGGGUGGAUCACCUGAGGUCAGGAGUUCAAGACCAGCCUGGUCAACAUGGUGAAACCCCAUCUCUA